UUAAAGAGCAGUGAAAUUAUUCUUGAUCCUGGGAUUGUGUUUUAUGUCCUAAUGAUGGCAUUUUUGUUUGUCUAUGUAUUUAUGUUUAACCUUUUAACAACAUUUUGGGUUUUCGGUGAUGUUUAGUACCUAUUCCUUUAUAAAUGUAGCUUUUGCUUACAAGGCUUUUGUUGCUUUGCGGUCAGUCCAAGGUCCACGUCCUCUAACAUAAUUUGAUUGAGGGAGAUGAAGUGAAAUGUAAAUUGUCUGCAGUAGGUCACAGCAUAGCAAGCAGGGUGGUGUGGAGGCAGCUAGGCUGGCAUGGUACCCACCCACCCUAGCUGACACCUCUGCCCUCCCUCACCCUCUGUCUCAAUGUCAGGGAAACAGCUGACAGGGAAUCUGAAAACCCAUGUAUGGAAAUGUACACAGAUUUCCUGCUGGCCUCCACACUUUUCAUGUUGUCAUCUCAUAUGCGCUGCUAGCUAGACAGGCCAAUGGUAGGACAGCCCUGUCCCAUACGCCCUUCUGACCCCAGGACAUGCCUCACUCUGCCGUGUUUCAUCCUCCUGGUUUACAUGUGCCAGUCCAUCGUCUGUGCUGUGCUGUGCAUUGUGACAUUGUUUUUCUGUUACAUGAAUAAGGAAAGGCUAUCGGAAUAGAGAGUUAGAGCAUGUAUAUGUAAACUGACUUGUAAGUGUACUUGUAAAUACUUAUUCUUUACACAGAAAUGUGUUGCUUUAAAGUGAGAAAUGUUCUGAUUGUGAUCACUAAGAUCCAUGCAAUGAGCUUAGAGGGUGCAUAGCCUUUGGCUGUUUGGGAAGUAUAUUCUAACAUGACUGAUCAAUUUUUUAGGACUGAUUUACGGUAUGCCUGUGUUCAAUUCGUUUACUUAAGGCUAGUGGAGAGCUAUGAACUGAGAAAUUAUCGAUAUAUAAUUUAUUUAUUCCUUAAUUUACAUAUGUUAAUGGAUGGUUGUUCUGGAAACAUGCUGUUUCAGUGUUGGGAGUGAAGUGAAAGAGCUUGUUGGGUGAGUGUUGUGUUGGCUAGGCUAGUCUUUUGGGCAUUGUGGGGUGAAUGUGGAGUGAGACUGCUUGGGGCAUUGUGGGGUGAGACUGCUUGGGGCAGUGUGGGGUGAGACUGCUUGGGGCAGUGUGGGGUGAGACUGCUUGGGGCAGUGUGGGGUGAGACUGGUUGGGGCAGUGUGUGGGUGAGACUGGUUGGGGCAGUGUGUGGGUGAGACUGGAAUGCACAAUGUGGGGUAAGACUGGUUUGGGCAGUGUGGGGUGAGACUAGUCUGGUGCUUUAGAGUGGUUGGGGGAGUAAGACCCUGGUUGGGGCAGUGUGGGGUAAGACUGGUCUGGCAGUGAGGGGUGAAACAGUUCAGCCCAUUUGUGGUGAAACUGGUUUGGCUGUGUGCGGUGGUAUUAGUCUGGGCAGAGUGGUGGUGAGACAGGUCUGGCAGUGUUAGGUGGUAGUAGUCUGGGCAGAGUGGUGGUGAGACAGGUCUGGCAGUAUUAGGUGGUAGUAGUCUGGGCAGAGUGGUGGUGAGACAGGUCUGGCAGUAUUAGGUGGUAGUAGUCUGGGCAGAGUGGUGGUGAGACAGGUCUGGCAGUAUUAGAUGGUAGUAGUCUGGGCAGAGUGGUGGUGAGACAGGUCUGCCGGUAUUAGGUGGUAGUAGUCUGGGCAGAGUGGUGGUGAGACAGGUCUGGCGGUAUUAGGUGGUAGUAGUCUGGGCAGAGUGGUGGUGAGACAGGUCUGGCAGUAUUAGGUGGUAGUAGUCUGGGCAGAGUGGUGGUGAGACAGGUCUGGCAGUAUUAGAUGGUAGUAGUCUGGGCAGAGUGGUGGUGAGACAGGUCUGGCAGUAUUAGAUGGUAGUAGUCUGGGCAGAGUGGUGGCGCUGCCCCUCAGAGGUCCUCAUUAGUGUCCACUGCCUGGCCCAUCCGUCUGAGGGUGAGACAUUAACCAGAGCUGAGGGCCAAGCCACGCGAAAUAGCAGAGAGAACGAGUGAGAGAGAGUCUCAGUGAAAGGGACAUGCUGUUUUUGUCCCUCAUGAUCAAACAAGGAAGGGGAAUUUGGAUGGUAUCCGUCUGUUCAUAAGUCAUACACUACUUGCCUUAUCAUCUUAGACAGCAGUUGAACAGUUUUGGCAAAAUGUGGGUGAAUUAUGCGUCUUUUCAUAAAAUUCAAUAUGUGCCACAUUUCACUGAUUAGCCAGAGGGUGGCACUAUAACAAACAACUUAAAAUGCAGGUAAAGGUCAUGCCCUUUACCACCCUUUUUGUAAAGCCAUCAGAUUUGGAUUAUAUAUCCCUUUCUUCACUAGGAAUGCAUUUGCCUCAGUGGCCAGUGUCAACCAUGAUGAAUUUUCGGCCAUUUUUCAUUUAUUAAAAAUCACCUAAAAUGACAUAGUGACCAGUUUAACUGAAAAUGUAUUCAAGGCAUCUAUGGACCAGAAUUGCUCAAUCCAGUAUUUUUCAUAUUCUUACCUAAACAAACAUGGCUGCAAUUGACAAAUGAAGAUUAAUGUGGGUGUAGUCUGGCACAAAUGCAUAUAAAUCAGUCAAGAAUAUUCGUAUUGUAACCAAAUAUGGCACACACGUUGUAUUGUAACCAAAUAGCACACACUGUCAACAUUAAGAAAUGCAAGAACAUAUUAUAAUAUAGGCACAUUUAGGAACAUGUUUUAAUCUCUUAAUCGGUUUGACUAAGUGAUGCAAUUUGGCAAAAAUUCUCAGGGAUUUGAGGUUAGUAUCUCAGACUCAUUUCUCAGGCAUCACUGGUCUGAAGUUGACCAAACAUUGCUAUAUGUCCAGCCAUCCUCUAUUCAUUGGCACAAUAAUAAUCAACUAAAGUGUGUUAGUAUCUCAACUGAUUCACUUGUAUAUUUGGUUGACAGCACUUCUCAUACAAUAUAACACAAUUUACAGUUUGAAAAUUAUUGGAAACAUUUACCAUAAAAAGGGC
ensembl:lncRNA